rnacentral:rRNA from 1 species
AUUGAACGCUGGCGGCAUGCCUAACACAUGCACGUCGAACGCGUGGCGGACGGGUGAGUAAUGUCUGGGAAACUGCCUGAUGGAGGGGGAUAUCUCCUGGCAACGGUAGAUAAUACCGCAUACCAUCUGAUGUGCCCAGAUGUGAUUAGCUAGGAGGUGUGGUAAAGGCGCACCUAGGCGACGAUCCCUAGCUGGUCUGAGAGGAUGACCAGCCACACUGGAACUGAGACACGGUCCAGACUCCUACGGGAGGCAGCAGUGGGGAAUAUUGCACAAUGGGCGCAAGCCUGAUGCAGCCAUGCCGCGGGUAUGAAGAAGGCCUUCGUGUUGUAAAGUACUUUCAGCGGGGAGGCGUUACCCGCAGAAGAAGCACCGGCUAACUCCGUGCCAGCAGCCGCGGUAAUUC